ensembl:lncRNA
UUUUUUUUUUUUUAAUUUAAAUCAGUUUUAUUUAAGAAUUUCCAACAGUGACAACUCUUAUAAAAAGCAUCCAAGCACAGGACACAGAACUGCAGCAAACAGCAUUCUUAUGGGUAGCUAACAGACAUGAGAACUUCCACCCUGCUUUGAGACACCCCGAGCUCACUGGUGAACUCUGCUUCCAAGUACUCCUGCAAAGCACACCACAAGCUCAGUCCAUGUUCUCAACCCAUCAGCUUCAGUUCACAUUACCACACUUACAGAUCAGUAACAGAAGAGAACACACACCAUACAGCAUUCACAGCAGUUGACAAAGGGGUAGGGGAAAUACAAGUAUUGUUUCAUUUAACACAUUCAGCUAACGUGGGUCAUCUAAGAACAAAACUCACUUAAAAGUCUUCCAACAGAUGUGGAUGUCCUUUGAAUGCAAAAACAUUCGUACAUUAUUUGCUAUCCUUGCUCUCUGCACACUCUCUCACCAAAACCACAGGAUUGAGAGACACAUCUCGCCAAGUUAAAAAAUAUCCAUUAUGCACCACCAAGUCUCUGCACACGCUCUCUCCUUUUCUCGCUCAUACUAGUCUCUCAUGCCUCGGCACCACCAUCAAUCCCACACAAGGUUUCAAAAGUUCAAACAGCCUUCUGGUUCCAUAUCAUAGCCUUACGUUCAUAGCGUUGAUACGACUCCAUGAAAUAAAGAGUAGCGGAUAAAAAUGGGACACCCACCGUCAAAGACGCAGCCUGCACAGCAUGAUGGCGAGUUCUUGAAUGAGAAAGCAUGUAGACAGAAGUAUUCCUAUGGCAGAAUAUUUACAGCACUACUUUCAAUGAAGUGCUUCUUCCAUAAACAUUUGAAAUGAGAUGAACUGCAGAGAUUAAAUGAAGGCUUCAUAUUGUACUUUUGUAUAUGAAGGGAGACAAGUGUUGAAACAAAAACAAAAAAAACAAAAGAACCAACCACUGUGACACCAUGAUCUCCAAAGAGGAGAUUUUCCUAAGGAAAGAAAUCUAUAUGGUGGGGUUCAAAUUAAAACAAGGAGAAAAGAAUGUAGUCCUAAUCAAUGGUUUCCAUUGUGAACAUGCAAAGAAUUCACUUGACAGUCCAGGGAUAAAAUAUUACAGGAGAAACCCUUUGAUAUCAAUUGUUGUGUGUUGGUUUACCAAUCAGGCAAACAGCAGUUCACGUUCAAACGCUCAAU